rnacentral:rRNA from 1 species
GACGAACGCUGGCGGCGUGCCUAAUACAUGCAAGUCGAACGCAGUGGGGACGGGUGAGUAACACGUGGGUAACCUCCCAUCAGAGGGGAUAACACUUGGAAACAGGUGCUAAACCGAUACUGAUGGAUGAACCCGCGGUGCAUUAGCUAGUUGGUGAGGUAACGGCUCACCAAGGCCACGAUGCAUAGACGACCCGGAGGGGGGAAUGGCCACAACGGGAAUGAGAACCGGCCCAAACCCCUACGGGAGGCAGGAGUAGGGAAUCUUUGGCAAUGGAAGAAAGGCUGACCGAGCAAAGCCGCGGGAGUGAAGAAGGUUUUCGGAUCGGAAAAAUUUGGUGUUAGAGAAGCGGUAUCUAACCAGAAAGCCACGGCGAACUACGCGCCCGCAGCCGCGGUGAUAC